GAGUGGAUAUUAUAUAUUUGCAUAAAUGAGCAGAUGUUUCUAAUAAAUUGGUCAGUGAGUGUACAUUACAGAAGGUGGACAAUGGUCAAAUUUGUUAAGGGUGUAUGCCAUGGAAUGUGUGUGAGGCUGCAAGGCUGAAUUCUCCCAGUCCCUGUCAGUUGCCAUGCAUAAAAUUACCCAAGCCCAGAUCUUAAUAUUGCAUCUAGUGUUGAAACUGAGAAGUGCAACAGAGUUGAGCUCAAGCGCCAUGUGCGGGCCAUAUUCAAUUAUAUUUUCAGAAUUUGCUGCGGACCAAUAAAAACUGACCCGCCGGCCGCAGUUGGCCCACGGGCUGUAGUUUGGACACCCCUGAUACAGAGGAAUGUGACACUGAGGAAGUCACACCUGAAAAAACAGCUGCAGUCCAGGAUACAGUACGGCUGCAUCAAUUGGGAAGUUCAAUUUAUGCCCCUCAGUGAAACUGCAAAGAUGAGCAGUCUGUCACAAACAACUGACUGGAAUGAAGAGAAAAUGAAGGUUCUCAUGAAGUCUACAUACUGUACUAGAGUCAAUGAAAAGAUAUCAACAAAGGAACAGACAUGAAAAUCCUCACUGAUGACUGGCCAUUUUUGUUUCAGGAAAGUGGAAUGGAAGUGCACUUUAAAGACCUCACAGGGAUACCACUUAAUGAUACCUUCCUGAACAGCAUUGACGAAAAAGGAAAUACUCUGUUGAACUUCAUGAGGAAUGAUUGUGCAACCAAGAAGAAACAUGUCUUACAGGCUAUCACAAAAUUACAAGUUUUGAGAGGACAGACAAAUGGUUACUCUGAGGAUGUGAAAGACAUGAUUCUUCUACUUCUCUUCUAUUUUGAUGAGAAAGAGGAGCUCCUUCUUCAUUAUGUAGAAGAGACAAGCCUCGCAAAAAGGAUGUAGAAUUAGAAAACCUGCAUGUGACACCUUGUAUUAUUGUGUGUGGACGCUCCUGCUAUGUUGCUGUUCGAUUCAUGCUCAGUGUGGACCGCAAGAUUGUGAACGAUGACAUCACUACUGUACUUUCAUCGCUGCUGUUUGCCUAAUGUUUGGCAGUUACUACUGUUUCAACAUUCACUACCCUACUGAACUGGUGUCAGUGCUUGAAUUCCUGCAAUGGUGUUUUUUCAACAUCAAUCCCGAAAAGGGCACAAAAAAUGUGGAAAAGACGAACAAAAGCGACUCCAAGUGAACCCAAGAGUCUUCACCCUAAGCCCUGACCUUUCCAGAUCAUGAGUAGUGAGAGACUUUGUAAAGGUGGCCUGCAAAUGGUUUCCAAGUUUAAACUUUAUAAACAUUGAAAUGUUAAUGACUUAAAUUGUAACUACAUGUUUAUGGUAACAAUACACUAUACUCUGUACAGCACUUGUGCCUUGUUCUGCUUUAGUAGUUCUUACUGUAAAAGUUUAUCUGAAAAUUCCCAAGCUCAGUCUUCCCAAGCUCAGUCUUCCCAAGCUCAGUCUUCCCAAGCUCAGUCUUCCCAAGCUCAGUCUUCCCAAGCUCAGUCUUCCCAAGCUCAGUCUUCCCAAGCUCAGUCUUCCCAAGCUCAGUUUAAAGUGGCAGUUACUGUAGGUAGCAGAAAUGUUUUCAAUUCUGAGUCUAAAUUUUAAAUGAGUAGAUCUUCACUGACUGAUCUUAAUCUGA